rnacentral:misc_RNA from 1 species
ACGAAUGGUCAUCCUUGAUCUUCUACCCUCAAACCACUGUGGACAAAAACAUUGUGUUUCGGCGUCGAGAGGCGCCGCCUUUAUGCCUCGUUAAGUCUUUAAUGUCUGUCAAAAAACAAAUGUCA